UACGGAGGGAGCGAGCGUUGUUCGGAAUUACUGGGCGUAAAGCGUGCGCAGGCGGAUUUUCAAGUCAGAAGUGAAAUCCCAGGGCUCAACCCUGGAAUUGCUUUUGAAACUGGAUAUCUAGAGUCUCGGAGAGGUUGGCGGAAUUCCCAGUGUAGCAGUGAAAUGCGUAGAGAUGUGGAGGAACACCGAUGGCGAAGGCAGCCCCCUGGGUCAAGACUGACGCUCAUGCACGAAAGGCGUGGGGAGCAAACGAGGAUUACGAAACC
rnacentral:rRNA from 1 species